rnacentral:rRNA from 1 species
AUCUUGCGCAAUGGGCGAAAGCCUGACGCAGCAACGCCGCGUGAACGAUGAAGGCCUUCGGUUUGUAAAGUUCAGUCAGGGGGGAAGAUAAUGACGGUACCCCCGGAUGAAGCCCCGGCUAACUACGUGCCAGCAGCCGCGGUAAUACGGAGGGGGCAAGCGUUGUCCGGAAUUACUGGGCGUAAAGGGCGUGUAGGCGGCCAAUCAAGUCAGGUGUGAAAUUCCAGGGCUCAACCCUGGACGUGCACUUGAAACUGGUUGGCUUGAGUGCAGGAGAGGAAAGUGGAAUUCCCAGUGUAGCGGUGAAAUGCGUAGAUAUUGGGAGGAACACCAGUGGCGAAGGCGACUUUCUGGCCUGUAACUGACGCUGAGGCGCGAAAGCUAGGGGAGCAAAC